GGAAUUUUCGCAAUGGGCGAAAGCCUGACGGAGCAAUACCGCGUGAGGGAGGAAGGCUCUUGGGUUGUAAACCUCUUUUCUCAGGGAAUAAGCAAGUGAAGGUACCUGAGGAAUCAGCAUCGGCUAACUCCGUGCCAGCAGCCGCGGUAAUACGGAGGAUGCAAGCGUUAUCCGGAAUGAUUGGGCGUAAAGCGUCCGUAGGUGGCUGUGUGUGUCUAUUGUUAAAGAGUUUGGCUCAACCAAAUAAGGGCGGUAGAAACUACACAGCUAGAGUGCGUUCGGGGCAGAGGGAAUUCCUGGUGUAGCGGUGAAAUGCGUAGAGAUCAGGAAGAACACCGGUGGCGAAAGCGCUCUGCUAGGCCGCAACUGACACUGAGGGACGAAAGCUAGGGGAGCGAAUGGGAUUAGAUACCCCUGUAGUC
rnacentral:rRNA from 1 species